UACGUAGGGUGCAAGCGUUAAUCGGAAUUACUGGGCGUAAAGCGUGCGCAGGCGGUUAUGCAAGACAGAUGUGAAAUCCCCGGGCUCAACCUGGGAACUGCAUUUGUGACUGCAUAGCUAGAGUACGGUAGAGGGGGAUGGAAUUCCGCGUGUAGCAGUGAAAUGCGUAGAUAUGCGGAGGAACACCGAUGGCGAAGGCAAUCCCCUGGACCUGUACUGACGCUCAUGCACGAAAGCUAGGGGAGCAAACAGG
rnacentral:rRNA from 1 species